rnacentral:rRNA from 1 species
UUCUAAGGGCGGUGAAGUCAGACCGGAAGGACUGGUGGAGCGCUUAGAAGUGAGAAUGCCGGUAUGAGUAGCGAAAGAAGGGUGAGAAUCCCUUCCACCGAAUAUCUAAGGUUUCCUGAGGAAGGCUCGUCCGCUCAGGGUUAGUCGGGACCUAAGCCGAGGCCGAUAGGCGUAGGCGAUGGACAACAGGUAGAGAUUCCUGUACCAGUGCUAAUUGUUUAACCGAUGGGGUGACACAGAAGGAUAGGGAAUCGCACGAAUGGAAAUGUGCGUCCAAGCAGUGAGUGUGAGAAGUAGGCAAAUCCGCUUCUCGCGAAGCAUGAGCUGUGAUGGGGAAGGAAAUUAAGUACGGAAGUUCCUGAUUUCACGCUGUCAAGAAAAGCCUCUAGGAAGAGUAGUACUGCCCGUACCGCAAACCGACACAGGUAGAUGAGGAGAGAAUCCUAAGGUGAGCGAGAGAACUCUCGUUAAGGAACUCGGCAAAAUGACCCCGUAACUUCGGGAGAAGGGGUGCUCUAUUAGGGUGCAAGCCCGAGAGAGCCGCAGUGAAUAGGCCCAGGCGACUGUUUAGCAAAAACACAGGUCUCUGCAAAACCGUAAGGUGACGUAUAGGGGCUGACGCCUGCCCGGUGCUGGAAGGUUAAGAGGAGUGCUUAGCUUCGGCGAAGGUACGAAUUGAAGCCCCAGUAAACGGCGGCCGUAACUAUAACGGUCCUAAGGUAGCGAAAUUCCUUGUCGGGUAAGUUCCGACCCGCACGAAAGGCGCAACGAUCUGGGCACUGUCUCAACGAGAGACUCGGUGAAAUUAUAGUACCUGUGAAGAUGCAGGUUACCCGCGACAGGACGGAAAGACCCCGUGGAGCUUUACUGCAACCUGAUAUGGAAUGUUUGUACCGCUUGUACAGGAUAGGUAGGAGCCGAAGAGACGUGUGCGCUAGCAUACGAG